rnacentral:rRNA from 1 species
GAUGAACGCUGGCGGCGUGCUUAACACAUGCAAGUCGAACGAUGAAGCCCAGCUUGCUGGGUGGAUUAGUGGCGAACGGGUGAGUAAAACGUGAGUAACCUGCCCUUAACUCUGGGAUAUGCCUGGGAAACUGGGGCUAAUACCGGAUAGGAGCGUCCACCGCAUGGUGGGUGUUGGAGAGAUUUAUCGGUUUUGGAUGGACUCGCGGCCUAUCAGCUUGUUGGUGAGGUAGUGGCUCACCAAGGCGACGACGGGUAGCCGGCCUGAGAGGGUGACCGGCCACACUGGGACUGAGACACGGCCCAGACUCCUACGGGAGGCAGCAGUGGGGAAUAUUGCACAAUGGGCGCAAGCCUGAUGCAGCGACGCCGCGUGAGGGAUGACGGCCUUCGGGUUGUAAACCUCUUUCAGUAGGGAAGAAGCGAAAGUGACGGUACCUGCAGAAGAAGCACCGGCUAACUACGUG